rnacentral:snRNA from 1 species
AUCGCUUCUCGGCCUUUUGGCUAAGAUCAAGUGUAAUAAAUAAUAAUGAGAGCAAUUACAAUACAAAAAUUAGGUCGGCCCCCGAGUUUUUAAUAGCCCUGGUUACAACAGGUGUUAUCAUAUGUAAUACUGGCAAUUAUUAUUGCUCCUAGGUACCAACA